CCGACCGUCCGUUCGUCCGAGAACAACUGUGCUCGAUCUCUCCCGGCCGUCGUUUUCUUGUCUCUUCUGUGUACACACACAAGUGCGUACAGACCGUCAAGACUUCUCGUUCCUCUUCCUCCUUUCACAUCCCAGACGAAGGCUGGGGUGUGUGCGGCGAGCAGGAGACACGGACGAAGCGGAGAGAAAUGAAAGCACAAAGCAGCAAAACGCAUCAGCAUGAAUAUUAGAGAUGUCGUUAAAAUCCGGACUCGUUUUUCUCUCUCUCUCUCCCUUGCUCACUCACUCUCUCGCUCUCUCUUUAGCUCAUUGUGAAGCAGGAGGUCCAGCAGAGGGUGCUAGCUGUUAUUACAUUAACUUUCACAACUUAACCCCAAAAAUACUGAAUUUCUCUACUUGCCAGGCACAAAAUGCACAACAGCUAGUGUUUAAGGAAACGAAUACACCUACACAUAUAUUCAACAGCUAUUUUGUGUCAAAACAGCAUUGUUUUGACCUAAACAAGUAAAAUAAAUCACAAUUCUAAUUUGAAAUAUCUCAGAAUCAUGUCAGCAAUUCAAUUUUCAGGUUCGCACAUAAACACACAUACAGAAGAGGGGGCAGGUGGCAUGUGCUGCUGCCUGGAUAGACUCACAGGAAGUGACAACAGAUACUCAAGGGGAAAUGAGGUCAUGCCCUGACUUUCCCUAAGUGUGACACAUUGGCCAUGUGCAACUGUGCACGUGCACUGCAACAAACCUCUUGAGCCCACACAUACACAUGCAGCAAAAAUGAAAACAAGUGUCAGAGGAGAGAAAAAAACACAGAGGAAAAACGUGCAUUUAUGACACCCCAAAUAAUACGUCAGGCAUAGAACCACUUGGGUGUUAUGACUAGCUACUGAAAUCACGCAUUAAAACUGGGUCAUCUUAGCUUAAGAAUCUUACGGAGUAGCAGAGAGAUUAGCUGUGGUUCGGCCAAGCCUGGAGACUGGAGUAAGAGCAACUUUUGCACUUUUGGUUAAAAUAAGGCAAGACAAUACAUGUGAACUGAAAGUCAACUAAAACACUCUUCUCACUAGGUGGCACAUAGUGUAGCUGUGUCUGUUGGUGCAUGUGCACGUUCCUCUUCCGGGAGUAUGCUAGCAACAAUAAAAUGGUUUGCGCAGUACAAACAGGCUAAGUGUGACCGAGAGAGAGAGAUAACAAAAGAGACAGAGGGGGGGAAAAAAGACCGAGAUAACAAGGCCUUGAAGUUUGGACUGGUGGAAACAACUCAAAAACCUCAAUACACACUUUAUAUGAUCAUCUCCUUAUAUCCUUAUAUCCCCUUAUCCUACCCCUACCCCUAAAUCUGCCCCGUCACACAAAACGUUCUGCUAUUUUAGAUAUUUAAAUUAAAGAAAAUUAAGAAAAUAAAAUCAUUCUGUAUGAUUUAUGUUCUGUAUGAUUUAUGUUUCCUCGCGGGGACCAAAAAAUGUCAAAAUUUACUAGUAUUACUAGACUUGAGGGGUCCCCAAAAUGUAGGGAAUACCAGAUACACACACACUUUAAAUAUGCUCGCAAGUUGUGAAAAAGAGGUUGUAGUAUCAAAACGAUAUUUCUACAUUUGUAAAAGCUUUUUGACAAGGUUAUAUCGAUUGUUUUUUUCAUUUGUUACUAGUUUUGUCUGUGUCACUCAUAUUUGUACAUGAAUAUACCUUCACGAGAGAAUAACCUAGAAGAUGAAGAACUUUAUGAGUGACGAGAAAGCAAAUAAAAGUGUGCUUGUAUACUGUAAGGAGGAAACAUGGCACAAACCACCUCUACACUAUGGCAACCAAACGGUUAAUAUGUAAAUAAGAUGAAAUAGCAGCACCAAGAUAUUGGGAGGAGUUCAGCUCUGCAUGAGAGAGAGAGAGAGAGAAAGAGAGAGAGAGAGAGAGAGAGAGAGAGAGAGAGCGCUCUAUUCCUCCAAACCCGCCCACUUUCAGACCUCCUAUAUUAGGUGGAUAUUUUCAAGGAUAGUUCAAGCCUGUGUGUGGCAAAUGCUUAAGCCACCAUGUAAGAAACACACUGAAAUGAAUGUGAACUUCUUGAUCUGUACAGUGCAAUCUUUACAAAUUGUGCUCCUUGUAACAAGGUAUGAGCUACAGCAUCCUAAUUCCUUAGUCCUUAGUGCCUGUAACUAUUCCAGAUAUCCAAGCAGUCACAUGAAGACUCCAAUUUCAUUAUCUAAUCAGUGCAUGCAGAAAGGUGCAAACAGCUCAACAGAUUGCUGUUAUUAAUAAACAUUUGUAUUUUUUUCCCUAAAAAACAACACAAAAACAAUAUGUUGAUAGAUUCAAAGCACUACAGUUAACCGGUGUUCAUCCAGCUCUUCAGCUUCAGAGCGCAGCUUGAACAGCAAUGCACUACAUUAAUAACUAUAACUGAGACUGUCAUAUAAAUAUCUUUAUAAAAACAGCUACAGCGCAUGCAGCUCCAACAGCAAUGCGGCCAUAUAAAACAGAGGCAUUAUUCAUUUGUUACCUUUUCAAAAUCAUUGAUUCAUUAUUAAACACCAUUAUAACCACCAAUUUUAUUUUUCUCUUAUUAUUUUCAUCCACAAUAUGGUUUAGUUAUUAAAAUCAUUUCAUUAUUUUCCAUCCAGUGGCUAUUGCCGUUUAUUGAUUUAUGGCGGAUGCAUUUUGAUUCUAUACAUGCCUCAACAUGGAUAUUUACUUUAGGUUAUUCCUGGCCAUUCACACAGAAAACGUCUUUGUGUUUAAGACUGCAAGACGCACAGUAAUGGUUUUAUAAAAAAAUGAAGUGCAGCGCAGAGCUACUCCACUAAGGUGCCGUCAAAUACAAAGGUUGCAAUGCAAACCUGCUAGUGUAAUCAAAAGCGUGAGACACUGCAAAACACGCGAGUGCAACAGUCACGUCCGUAUAGCGCCGACUACACACACGGUAGUAUGUUUUUUAACAGGCAAGUAUUAAUAGAAUUAAAACUACCUUUGAUAGAGGUUCUUAAUUUCAGUUUCAAUUUAUUUUCAAAUAAUCAUCCAGCCCUACAUUAUUUUAUUUAUUUGUAGGACUUACUAAUUUCUCACCACGACCGUCACUAAUUUAAGCUAAGGUUUCUUCACAUCCUGAUAGCAGUCAAUAAUUAAAGUGGUCUAUCUUCUGUGAAAGUCUCAGGACCAUAUAAUGUUCAUCCAAUCAUUUCAUAAUUUAGCCCCGGGGACCAUUUAAUAUGGGGUUUUGGUACCCAUUAUUACCUCAAACACAGGUAGCAAUAAUAUGCUAAAAAUACUCCGAACACCUUGGCAUUUACAUAACAACACCCUAACAAACACCCACAAAACCCCAGCGUCCCGGAGACAACUUUCACCGUCAAGAAAAACGUACAGAUUUACAGCCAGUUCCUUUAGCUAUUGAUAAUGAACACCCUCUGCAUGUUUAACAGUUUCUCAACAAAAACUCUCUUUCUUCAAAACCUUAUUAAAUCUCACACUUUCACACACACAAGUUUUCUCACUUUCAUCUAGAGCUCUUACAGUCCAACACUGUAAUGAUAUCCCUGCCCACAACCUAAAAUCUGUGUCCUGCUUAGGUGAAAAUGAAUUACACUGUCAGGACCAGAGAGAGAGUUUAGAGUCCAUAAUUAGGACUAGACUGCAGACUAAUGUGGAGUACAGCAGAUAGAGCUAGAGGGAUAGAAGGAGAGAGAGAGGAUUAAUGAGGGAAGGCCUGAUGUGUAGCAUUGGUUUCCUGAACCCAUUAAACACGACGGCUAUUAAUGACCCAUACAGAACACACCAAACUCUUCUAAAACACACACAUACACCACAAAACACAAUGCACACACACUCACAAAUGAGCAUAUACAUUCAGUAUUGUGGUACAAUGAUGCAGGCAUGUGCAAACACAUACAGUAUAUGUAUAUCUAUAUUCAUUAGUAACAACACAAGGGUGAGUAAAUAAUGGAAUUUUCACUUUUGGGUGAACCAUCCUUUCAAGGUUACACUAAUUAUAGCAUCAGCUGAAGACGGCAACAUAACGUACACUGGAAUCCAGUGCUCAUGUGUGUGGGUUGUACAGGUUCACAGUUUGAUUGGGUGACCUAAUCUGUCUCAGAGGAUUACCAUCAACCCCCAGUCUCAGUCUACUCCACUCUAUGCUCACUCCAGGGUUAUGCCAGAAAAGAAAUCACCAAUUUAUUGCACAAUGUUGAACUAUUUUAUGAUCAGUAUCUGACAAUAGCAGACAAUUUCCUUCAGUGUGUGUUCAAAAUAUUAGAUAAUGAUAAACAGAAUGACAGAUAGAACAACAGACAGACAGACAGACAGCUAUGAGGCCAUGAGGAACCAAGGAAGAGAGAGAUACUGUAUGCAGGGGAAAGAGAAAACGAGCACACAGCGGGAAACCUCCACUAGACCUCUAUGCUUCUUUCAUUAUUUAGGGCAAAAGGGACAGACAGGAGUGACCGAGAACACAAAACAUGCCGUCAGACACACAUGCAAACAUCGCUCAAAUACACUGAACACCAUUCACAAAAAUGCAAAUCACAUUACACACACACAAAUACAGAGGAGAAACCUGUACGCUUGGCACUCUUGCAUGUGACCAAGGAACCCCCCCCCCAUGUAUCUAAAACAUGCAUACAAUUUUAUUUUCCCUCAAAUUUUAUUUUAAUAAAAGCAUAUCAAACGAGUGUCUAAUAUAUUGAAUUCAUAAAACAUUAACAUUAAAUUAUUUAUUACGACUUUUACAAUAGUAGAGCCUAUGAAAUGUUUAUUAUUAUUAUUUUUUUUCAGAAAUUGUGGGUUUUUUUCUGAAACAGAGGUAACCAAAUGAAGACAUACAACAAUCCGAUCAAUCUUUUAAAAUGUAAUCAAAUGAAAACGAUGAUCCAUAAAUUAAUAAUUCCAUAAUUAAACAGAAGUCUUUUUGCACAAAAGUGCAAAAAUAGACACCAGUCCAUAAAUUGCGAUUUGAUCAUAUUGUGUAGCCUGACUUUUGAUUUAUUCAUCCAAAAUUUCAUGAUAUACCGCUUAUACUGUUAAGCUUUUUUUUUUUUUUUUUUUUU